rnacentral:rRNA from 1 species
GGACGAACGCUGGCGGCGUGCUUAACACAUGCAAGUCGAACGGAAAGGCCUCUUUCGGGGGGUACUCGAGUGGCGAACGGGUGAGUAACACGUGAGUAACCUGCCCUUGACUUUGGGAUAACUUCAGGAAACUGGGGCUAAUACCCGGGAUAGGAGCUCCUGGCUGCAUGGUGGGGGUUGGAAAGUUUCGGCGGUUGGGGAUGGACUCGCGGCUUAUCAGCUUGUUGGUGGGGUAGUGGCUUACCAAGGCUUUGACGGGUAGCCGGCCUGAGAGGGUGACCGGCCACAUUGGGACUGAGAUACGGCCCAGACUCCUACGGGAGGCAGCAGUGGGGAAUAUUGCACAAUGGGUGGAAGCCUGAUGCAGCAACGCCGUGUGCGGGAUGACGGCCUUCGGGUUGUAAACCGCUUUCGCUCAUGACGAAGCUUUGUGUGACGGUAGUGGGUAAAGAAGCACCGGCUAACUACGUG